rnacentral:tRNA from 1 species
UAUUAAAUAUCUUAAGUUAAAGAAUUGAAUUUUUAAUUCAAAAAUAAUAUUAUUGUAUUUUUAGUAG